AACGAGCGCAACCCCUGCAUUUCAGUUGCCAUCGGGUAAUGCCGGGCACUCUGGAAGGACUGCCAUCGACAAGAUGGAGGAAGGUGGGGAUGACGUCAAGUCAUCAUGGCCCUUAUGUCCAGGGCGACACACGUGCUACAAUGGCCGGCACAACGGGAAGCGAGUUCGCGAGGACGAGCGGAUCCCUCAAAGACCGGUCGCAGUUCGGAUUGAAGUCUGCAACUCGACUUCAUGAAGCUGGAAUCGCUAGUAAUCGUGGAUCAGCCAAGCCGCGGUGAAUACGUUCCCGGGCCUU
rnacentral:rRNA from 1 species